CGAAUGGCGUAACGACUUCCCCACUGUCUCCAGCAUAGACUCAGUGAAAUUGAACUCUCCGUGAAGAUGCGGAGUUCCUGCGGUCAGACGGAAAGACCCCGUGAACCUUUACUAUAGCUUCACAGUGGACUUUGAUCUUAUUUGUGUAGGAUAGGUGGGAGGCUUUGAAGCGUUAUCGCUAGAUAGCGUGGAGCCAACCUUGAAAUACCACCCUGGUAAUUUCGGAGUUCUAAGCUCGAUCGGUAUAUCCCGGUCAGGGACAAUGUAUGGUGGGUAGUUUGACUGGGGCGGUCUCCUCCCAAAGAGUAACGGAGGAGUGCGAAGGUAACCUCAGCGCGG
rnacentral:rRNA from 1 species